rnacentral:rRNA from 1 species
UACGGAGGGUGCAAGCGUUAUCCGGAUUUACUGGGCGUAAAGCGAGUGUAGGCGGUUUGGUAAGUCGGAUGUGAAAGCCCCGGGCUCAACCCGGGAAGUGCACUCGAUACUGCCAAGCUAGAGUAUCGGAGAGGUUGGUGGAAUUCUCGGUGUAGAGGUGAAAUUCGUAGAUAUCGAGAGGAACACCGGUGGCGAAGGCGGCCAACUGGACGAAUACUGACGCUGAGACUCGAAAGCGUGGGGAGCAAACAGG